rnacentral:lncRNA from 1 species
AUUUUGUUAAUUCAUAUUAUAUAUUGCUUGAAUUCAUAUCUAUCCGUUUAAUUUAUUUUUUUCGUGUUUAUUACAAAAAAAUUAUAAAAUUAAAAAUACAAAAAUAUCCUAAUUGUACACUAUAAGGCAAUUGACACACAUUUUGCAUCUUGCAUUAAAAAACAGAGUAACUGCCUAGUAAGUGAGAUUGCAAAACCUCACCCAAUAGGUGUGUGUGAAAAUUUUUGAUUUUCAUUCUUUUUGCAUCAUUCAUUUACAUAAAGCAAAAAGGAAGAUUAACUCACCUCUUGUGAGCGAAAACCUUUUCUGCUUUGCUUUUAAUUGAUCAUUUUGUAUCUUCUAAUUUUGGCUUAAACGUUGCAUAAAGAAACUCAACCAUUCAUAGAGCGUAGCUGGUAUAAGGUAG